AUGGGUCAGUCAAUCAUAACAGGUCAAUAAAGAGGUACGUAUGGGUCAGUCAAUCAUAACAGGUCAAUAAAGAGGUACGUAUGGGUCAGUCAAUCAUAACAGGUCAUUAAAGAGGUACGUAUGGGUCAGUCAAUCAUAACAGGUCAUUAAAGAGGUACGUAUGGGUCAGUCAAUCAUAACAGGUCAAUAAAGAGGUACGUAUGGGUCAGUCAAUCAUAACAGGCCAAUAAAGAGGUACGUAUGGGUCAGUCAAUCAUAACAGGUCAUUAAAGAGGUACGUAUGGGUCAGUCAAUCAUAACAGGUCAUUAAAGAGGUACGUAUGGGUCAGUCAAUCAUAACAGGGCAAUAAAGAGGUACGUAUGGGUCAGUCAAUCAUAACAGGUCAAUUAAGCUGUGUGUGUGUGUUUUGCCUGUGUACUUCAUUCAUGGAGUAGAAUAGGACUUGAAUAUAAUUCCAACAUAAUUGCAGCUAAUCGGAAAUAAAUGCUCUGCAUAAACAUACAUGGACAAUAAACGGAGGCUUGUGUUUGGCCUGUAUAAUACUGUUCUAAUAGAACUCCUAUACAUUACUUCAAGAGGCAACAGUUGGCGUAUAUAGUAGAUGAGGAAAAUGUGUCUUGCAUACGUUAACAGAAUUACAGCUAAUCUGAAAUCAAUGAUGUUCUGCACCUCACAGAGCAGAGUGAUUCCCCCCCCCGACAGACACACACACACACACACACACACACACACACACACACACUAAUGCUUCAGCAGGACCUCCUCCUAUCUCUUCAUACAGCUAUUGAUUUAUACUGCUCACAGAUGAACAGAUAUCUUCAGAGUAGUUUAAAGCUAGUCCCCUGUGAAUCCCCUUCUCUCUCCCUCCCCUUUCACUCACUCGUUCACUUGCAAAAAAAAAACAAGUUUUAUAUGGAUCUUUAUUCGCUUUCCCUCCAUUUCUUGAAAGACAGUUUUUAAGUGGGUGCUUUGAAACCAAUAGGAGUUGGAACUUGCUCAAUGAAAGCUUUAGUUUGAUGCUAUUCAUUCUGUAGUGAAGAAGUCCCAAUUCCUCCUGCUUCAGAGUAGCACUUAACGGUGACUUAUCUUUGAAAGCAUUUCUCCUGCUCACUCAGAAAGCACCAUUUUUAUAUUUGCUAUUUUCAAUAACCGUUGCCUUUUUAAAAGACCAGAAACAUUCCUUCCUGUAAUUUUGUUCUGCAAUAAAAUGGUUUGGUGUGGACUCACCUGUUGGAGGAUCUGAAAUGUUUUAAUAUGUUUAUUAUAAAGUGUAUGUUCUUUGUUAAUCAUACCCAGGCCAGGAUCUUACGUUUUAUAUCUAAAGUGUGUUUUUCUUCCUAUG